CAUGGGAGAUAAAGCUGUUGCUUGCCUAGUGGAAGGAGAGUGAUGAAUCGUAAACUUCCUGAGGUUCCGCCUAGACCAGCUUCUCGUGGACCAGCAUUGCCAGCUAACAGAAGGCUGUGAGUCUGCAUCUCGGCCCAUCCAUCCUUCUCCUUAUUCCCAUGAUGAGUUCACCAGUGCGGUCCGAUGGGGUGGCUGGACGAGAGCAGCUCUUGGCUCAGCAGAGAAUGCACAGUAUGAUCAGCUCAGUCGAUGUGAAGUCCGAGGUUCCUGUGGGCCUGGAGCCCAUCUCGCCGUUAGACCUGAGAACGGACCUCAGGAUGAUGAUGCCCGUGGUGGACCCUGUUGUCCGCGAGAAGCAACUGCAGCAGGAGUUGCUCCUCAUCCAGCAGCAGCAGCAGAUCCAGAAGCAGCUCUUGAUCGCGGAGUUCCAGAAGCAGCAUGAGAACUUGACUCGGCAGCACCAGGCUCAGCUUCAGGAGCACAUCAAGUUGCAACAGGAACUUCUAGCCAUAAAACAGCAGCAAGAACUGCUAGAAAAGGAGCAGAAACUGGAGCAGCAGAGGCAAGAACAGGAAGUAGAGAGGCAUCGCAGAGAACAGCAGCUUCCUCCUCUCAGAGGCAAAGAUAGAGGACGAGAAAGGGCAGUGGCAAGUACAGAAGUAAAGCAGAAGCUUCAAGAAUUCCUGUUGAGUAAAUCAGCAACAAAAGACACUCCAACUAAUGGAAAAAAUCAUUCCGUGAGCCGCCAUCCCAAGCUCUGGUACACGGCUGCCCACCACACGUCAUUGGAUCAAAGCUCUCCACCCCUGAGUGGAACGCCUCCAUCCUACAAAUACACAUUACCUGGAGCACAAGAUGCAAAGGAUGAUUUCCCCCUUCGAAAAACUGCCUCUGAGCCCAACUUGAAGGUGCGGUCCAGGUUAAAACAGAAAGUGGCAGAGAGGAGAAGCAGCCCCUUACUCAGGCGGAAGGAUGGAAAUGUUGUCACUUCAUUCAAGAAGCGAAUGUUUGAGGUGACAGAAUCUUCAGUCAGUAGCAGUUCCCCAGGAUCUGGUCCCAGUUCACCAAACAAUGGUCCAACUGGAAAUAUUACUGAAAAUGAGACUUCAGUUUUGCCACCUACUCCUCAUGCUGAAAAAAUGGUUUCACAGCAACGCAUUCUAAUUCACGAAGAUUCCAUGAACCUGCUCAGUCUUUAUACCUCUCCCUCUUUGCCCAACAUCACCCUGGGUCUUCCAGCAGUGUCAACCCAGCUCAAUGCUUCAAAUUCACUCAAGGAAAAACAGAAGUGUGAGACCCAGACUCUCAGGCAAGGUGUUCCUCUGCCUGGGCAGUACGGGGGAAGCAUCCCGGCGUCUUCAAGCCAUCCCCACGGUACUUUGGAGGGAAAGCCCAGCAGCAGCCACCAAGCUCUCCUGCAGCAUCUGUUACUGAAAGAACAAAUGCGACAGCAAAAACUUCUUGUGGCUGGUGGAGUUCCCUUACAUCCUCAGUCUCCCUUGGCAACGAAAGAGAGAAUUUCACCUGGCAUCAGAGGCACCCACAAAUUACCCCGACACAGACCCCUGAAUCGAACCCAGUCUGCACCUUUGCCUCAGAGCACCUUGGCUCAGCUGGUCAUUCAGCAGCAGCACCAGCAGUUCUUGGAGAAGCAGAAGCAGUACCAGCAGCAGGUCCACAUGAACAAGCUGCUUUCGAAAUCUAUUGAACAACUGAAGCAACCAGGCAGUCACCUCGAGGAAGCGGAGGAAGAGCUUCAGGGGGACCAAGCGAUGCAGGAAGACAGAGCGCCCUCUAGUGGCAGCAGCACUAGGCGUGACAGCAGUGCUUGUGUGGACGACACAUUGGGACAAGCUGGUGCUGUGAAGGUGAAGGAGGAACCCGUGGACAGUGAUGAAGAUGCUCAGAUCCAGGAAAUGGAAUCUGGGGAGCAGGCUGCUUUUAUGCAACAGCAGUCCUUCUUGGAGCCCCAGCACACACGUGCAGUCUCGCUGCACCAGGCUCAGCUGGCUGCUGUGGGCAUGGAUGGAUUAGAGAAAGAGCGUCUGGUCUCCAAGACCCACUCCUCCCCCACAGCCUCCGCGUUACCUCACCCAGCAAUGGACCGCCCCCUCCAGCCCGGCUCUGCAACUGGAAUUGCCUAUGACCCUUUGAUGCUGAAACACCAGUGCAUUUGUGGCAAUUCCACCACCCACCCUGAGCAUGCUGGGCGAAUACAGAGCAUCUGGUCACGGCUGCAAGAGACUGGGCUGCUAAGUAAAUGUGAGCGAAUUCAAGGUCGAAAAGCCAGCCUGGAGGAAAUACAGCUUGUUCAUUCCGAACAUCACUCACUGUUGUAUGGCACCAACCCCCUGGACGGACAGAAGCUGGACCCCAGAACACUCCUAGGUGACUCCUCUCAAAAGUUUUUUUCUUCAUUACCAUGUGGUGGACUUGGGGUGGACAGUGACACCAUUUGGAAUGAGCUGCACUCGUCCGGCGCUGCACGCAUGGCUGUUGGCUGUGUCAUCGAGCUGGCUUCCAGAGUGGCCUCCGGAGAGCUGAAGAAUGGAUUUGCUGUGGUGAGGCCCCCAGGCCAUCAUGCUGAGGAAUCCACAGCCAUGGGGUUCUGCUUUUUUAAUUCAGUUGCAAUUACCGCCAAAUACUUGAGAGACCAACUAAAUAUAAGCAAGAUAUUGAUUGUAGAUCUGGAUGUUCACCAUGGAAAUGGUACACAGCAAGCCUUUUAUGCUGACCCCAACAUCCUGUAUGUUUCACUCCAUCGCUAUGAUGAAGGGAACUUUUUCCCUGGCAGUGGAGCCCCAAAUGAGGUUGGAACAGGCCUUGGAGAAGGAUACAAUAUAAAUAUUGCCUGGACAGGUGGCCUUGACCCCCCCAUGGGAGAUAUUGAGUACCUUGAAGCAUUCAGAACUGUAGUGAAGCCUGUGGCCACAGAGUUUGAUCCAGACAUGGUCCUGGUUUCUGCUGGAUUUGAUGCAUUAGAAGGCCACGCCCCUCCUCUGGGGGGGUACAAAGUGACAGCAAAAUGCUUUGGUCAUUUGACGAAGCAGUUGAUGACACUGGCUGAUGGACAUGUGGUGUUGGCUCUAGAAGGAGGACAUGAUCUCACAGCCAUCUGCGAUGCAUCAGAAGCCUGUGUAAAUGCCCUUCUAGGAAAUGAGCUGGAGCCACUUGCAGAAGAUGUCCUCCACCAAACUCCAAAUAUGAAUGCCGUCAUUUCUCUACAGAAGAUCAUUGAAAUUCAAAGCAAAUACUGGAAGUCGCUAAGGAUGGCGGCGACACCAAGGGGCUGUGCUCUGGCUGGGGCUCAGCUGCAAGAGGAGACAGAGACUGUUUCUGCCCUGGCCUCCCUGACAGUGGAUGUUGAACAGCCCUUUGCUCAAGAGGACAACAGGCGCUUCUUCACCUGACUCCUCCACUUUCACCACCUGUCUUCUCAGAAGCCAUGGAGGCCACAGCGCAUGCUGUUGGCUCUCAGGAAUUGAUGUUUCAUUCUCCGCAAGAAGCACAGAGCUGGAGCAUGUGGUUGCCGUUCACAGAGAUAUAGAGGGAUGAGAUAGAUGACCAGGCUACAUUCAGGAUUUUUUUCACAUGUACUAAGACCAAAACCCCACAAAUGUACGAAAAGUAACGGUGCUCUCUGCGGAUGACUUCAGAGUCACAUUUCUUCAGUUUAAAGAUGACUAGGUGAGGCUUUACUAAAGCUCUGCCAGCUUGCACUUGUAAAUUGCUUCUGAGAGUGAAAUUGAACUCCCUCCGUCAAUAACAUCACCGUUAAUUACACAGAUCCUGCUACUAGUACAUAGGUUGGCAGUUUUCCCAAGAAUGCACAAAUUCGAACAGUUUUAGCUUUCUUGCUUUUACUGGGUAUUCAGAGUUUAAUGUAUUUAACAUCUUGCUUUGUCCAUAAAGAGCAGGAGAUACAUUGAAUAAUAGAUUUCAUUUUUGUGUAAUUGUUUUUUCUUACUACAGCCACUUAAAAAGGCAUCUUCAUAUGGGUAUCUGGAGCAUAAGGGAAAACUUAUUUUACAUCUGAUAAUAUGAACUAACCCCCUGCUGUUCCCAGCUAAGAACCAAACCAAGUUCAUAAUUCAGAGGUGUUGUAGUUAUUCCCAAGGCCAAAUACAGUUAGUUGUCUGUCAUUUGAGGGCUGUAAAACUAAGGAAACUAACAUCUGUUAGUGUUGGAUGUAAAAGGAGCAUAGCUAUUCUUCAGAAUUCAUUUAAUAUAGAGAAGCAAAGCUAAAUUCUAGCCUGAGUGAAGUGAAUUAAGUCAUUUCUCCCGUUAAAUUGCAGAGCUUAGAAUAAUUAAGAAUGGUCAGUCCUGUUGUGAGCCCCAUGUAAUAUAAAAAUCUCAGGACUUUGGAGGAAUUGCUCUAUAAGCAUGCUUGUUUAUCCUCAGGUACAUAGCAUGCUUGACUCCUGAUAAACCACAGGGACUUGACCCUGACUUCAGUUCACAGUGAUUUUUAAGCUUCAUCUGAUGGCAGAGAAAGAAUGGGGGGUAAUGUGAAAGUUUU